UCUGUUUUGUUGAACUGUUCAUUGAUAGGGACUUGAGUGCAAAACUGUUCAUGACAACUGCAGUCAUAAAGUUAUCAUGGCGAUUGUAACCAUAAAUGCAUUACUGUAAGUGUCCAGAGCCAUCUUCCAAGUGUGACUUUCGACUGUCCAUAUGGGGCCAUCCUCCACAGGAGCGAUGUGAUGAGACUCCAGCCAGACGCAGGGCAUCAGGAUGGAUCAGGCAGGUCUGAGGAGCAGAAGAGCCCUGUUGCCUACAAAAUCAAAGACAAUUGCCAUCGAACCCUGCAACAUCACGUUCUCUGAAAGCCUCAAGGCACCAGGAAGACAUUCAUCAAGAUUCUUCUCUGUACUGACCCAGGUGGUGAAAUGAACUUCCCCUGGCUGUCUGAACAGCUAAGGCACAGUCUUCAAAGACUGAAGACCUAUCUCUUCACCAAGCGCUUCAAUAAGCACUCAUUUAAAUGAAUGAACGAAUGAAUAAAUGAAUGAAUGAA